AGAGUUUGAUCCUGGCUCAGAUUGAACGCUAGCGGGAUGCUUUACACAUGCAAGUCGAACGGCAGCACGAAGAGCUUGCUCUUUGGUGGCGAGUGGCGAACGGGUGAGUAAUGUAUCGGAACGUGCCCAGUAGCGGGGGAUAACUACGCGAAAGCGUGGCUAAUACCGCAUACGCCCUACGGGGGAAAGGGGGGGAUCGCAAGACCUCUCACUAUUGGAGCGGCCGAUAUCGGAUUAGCUGGUUGGUGGGGUAAAGGCCUACCAAGGCGACGAUCCGUAGCUGGUUUGAGAGGACGACCAGCCACACUGGGACUGAGACACGGCCCAGACUCCUACGGGAGGCAGCAGUGGGGAAUUUUGGACAAUGGGGGCAACCCUGAUCCAGCCAUCCCGCGUGUGCGAUGAAGGCCUUCGGGUUGUAAAGCACUUUUGGCAGGGAAGAAACGGCGCGGGCUAAUAACCUGUGCUAAUGACGGUACCUGCAGAAUAAGCACCGGCUAACUACGUGCCAGCAGCCGCGGUAAUACGUAGGGUGCAAGCGUUAAUCGGAAUUACUGGGCGUAAAGCGUGCGCAGGCGGUUCGGAAAGAAAGGUGUGAAAUCCCAGGGCUUAACCUUGGAACUGCACUUUUAACUACCGGGCUAGAGUACGUCAGAGGGGGGUAGAAUUCCACGUGUAGCAGUGAAAUGCGUAGAGAUGUGGAGGAAUACCGAUGGCGAAGGCAGCCCCCUGGGAUGAUACUGACGCUCAUGC
rnacentral:rRNA from 1 species